UACGUAGGGGGCAAGCGUUGUCCGGAUUUACUGGGCGUAAAGCGCGCGUAGGCGGAACGAUCAGUCCGGUCUGAAAGCCCCCGGCUCAACCGGGGAGGGUGGCUGGAAACUGUCGUUCUUGAGGGCGAGAGAGGAGGGUGGAAUUCCUGGUGUAGCGGUGAAAUGCGCAGAUAUCAGGAGGAACACCGAUGGCGAAGGCAGGUCUCUGGGCCAUAACUGACGCUGAGAAGCGAAAGCAUGGGGAGCGAACAGG
rnacentral:rRNA from 1 species